rnacentral:rRNA from 1 species
ACGGAGGAUGCGAGCGUUAUCCGGAUUCAUUGGGUUUAAAGGGUGCGUAGGCGGACUAUUAAGUCAGCGGUGAAAUCCUGCAGCUUAACUGCAGAACUGCCAUUGAUACUGAUAGCCUUGAGUUUGGUUAAGGUAGGCGGAAUGUGUAAUGUAGCGGUGAAAUGCGUAGAUAUCACGCGGAACACCAAUUGCGUAGGCGGGUUCCUGGGCCGUGACUGACGCUGAGGCGCGAAAGCGUGGGGAUCGAACAG